rnacentral:rRNA from 1 species
UACGUAGGGGGCAAGCGUUGUCCGGAUUUAUUGGGCGUAAAGAGCGUGUAGGCGGCCGUACAGGUCAGCUGUGAAAACUCGAGGCUCAACCUCGAGACGUCGGUUGAAACCGUUGCGUAGAGUCCGGAAGAGGAGAGUGGAAUUCCCGGUGUAGCGGUGAAAAUGCGCAGAUAUCGGGAAGAACACCCGUGGCGAAGGCGGCUCUCUGGGACGGUACUGACGCUGAGACGCGAAAGCGUGGGGAGCGAACAGG